CCUACGGGACGCACCAGUGGGGAAUAUUGCACAAUGGGCGCAAGCCUGAUGCAGCCAUGCCGCGUGUAUGAAGAAGGCCUUCGGGUUGUAAAGUACUUUCAGCGGGGAGGAAGGUGUUGUGGUUAAUAACCACAGCAAUUGACGUUACCCGCAGAAGAAGCACCGGCUAACUCCGUGCCAGCAGCCGCGGUAAUACGGAGGGUGCAAGCGUUAAUCGGAAUUACUGGGCGUAAGCGCACGCAGGCGGUCUGUCAAGUCGGAUGUGAAAUCCCCGGGCUCAACCUGGGAACUGCAUUCGAAACUGGCAGGCUAGAGUCUUGUAGAGGGGGGUAGAAUCCCAGGUGUAGCGGUGAAAUUCGUAGAUAUUCGGAGGAACACCAGUGGCGAAAGCGGCUUACUGGUCUGCAACUGACGCUGAGGCGCGAAAGCGUGGGGAGCAAACAGGAUUAGAUACCCGCGUAGUC
rnacentral:rRNA from 1 species